GACGAACGCUGGCGGCGUGCCUAAUACAUGCAAGUCGAGCGGACGAAUCGAAAGCUUGCUUUUGAUUCGUUAGCGGCGGACGGGUGAGUAACACGUGGACAACCUGCCCUGUAGACGGGGAUAACACCGAGAAAUCGGUGCUAAUACCGGAUAACACGAAAUGUCGCAUGACGUUUCGUUGAAAGACGGCGCAAGCUGUCGCUACAGGAUGGGCCCGCGGCGCAUUAGCUAGUUGGUGAGGUAACGGCUCACCAAGGCGACGAUGCGUAGCCGACCUGAGAGGGUGAUCGGCCACACUGGGACUGAGACACGGCCCAGACUCCUACGGGAGGCAGCAGUAGGGAAUCUUCCGCAAUGGACGAAAGUCUGACGGAGCAACGCCGCGCGAGCGAAGAAGGCCUUCGGGUCGUAAAGCUCUGUUGUUAGGGAAGAACAAGUAACGCAGUAACUGGCGUUACCGUGACGGUACCUAACGAGAAAGCCACGGCUAACUACGUG
rnacentral:rRNA from 1 species